UUUAUAUAACGUCGUUAACUUUUAGAUUCACAUUUGACCAUUCGUCUUAUUCAAAAGAAAUAUAUAAUUAUUAAUUAUUUUGUUAUAAUAUGAUUUAUUAUUAUAGAAACUUUAAGUAUGCCUUAUAAUUUUAUAUAUUUUAAUAUAAAUUUUGAAUAAGACGAAUGGUCAAACGUGAACUAAAAAGUCAACGGCGUCAUAUAUA
rnacentral:pre_miRNA from 1 species